UAAAAGCUGUAAUUAGAAUAGCUAUAGGACUUCAGUGGGAGAUACAGGCUCAUAACAAGCCAAGGCCCCUUUGUUCUGCCCUCGCUGUAGGACAUCCUCUAAUGCUGGUGACUGGGGGAGCCCAAGUUACGGCCUGCAGAGGAACAGGAAGACAAACCAGGAGUCUGGCCAGUCCUCGUAGGCAAUACCUUGUGCAAACAGGUGCUCAAGGAUUUUUUCAAGUUUUUUGACACCAUUUUCUACAUGCUUCUCUGCUUUCCUGACUGAACGUGCAAUAGAUACGACCCUUUAGUCACAAUUCAUCAGCAUAUUUUGGGGAUUAGCACUGAGCAUGCUGUGCAGAAGGAAAGGUUUACACCCCCUCUGACCAACUUGGUAUCUAUUUCUGGAGAUGAGCAACACAUUUGUGCCCUACCUGGAGGAGCUGUUCCUGUACCCUGUGAUUUAAUGAAAAGGCACCUGCUUCCCCAUCUGCUGGCAGCAUCCUCUGGAAAACUAUGUAGAAUAAAUGUAACCAUGUGCAAAUGAUCCCUGUGCAAUCCAGAUCCCUAUUUCAGUGUUAAUAUAAGAAAACUUGGCAUCAAAUGUAACUUUCAUGCAGGAUUUUAAUGGGAAAAAGGAGCAGUGUUAAAGACUGGUGCUCAGAAGGCAUCACAGCAUGUGCAUGUGAUGAAAUCCCGGUAGAGCAUGAGCUGUACCUGUGCAGUGCUUCUGAAAACUGCUAAAAAUAACAAUUGCUGGAAAAAUAUUUUAAGCAGAAAAAUAUGCUCAAGGUACUACUGAGUCAGAAGAUGGCAGUAAUGACACCAACAUCCCUCAUCUUUGUUCUUUACCAUGGAAGCACAGUUAGUAGUGCUAGAAUAAUGGACUUACUAAAAUACUGAAAAUUUGCUAGUCUGGGAAGUGUUGGUUUAAAAAAAAGUUAGGUAAGCAAAUCCCUCCCUGCCCACUGUGUUCCCUCAGUGUCAGCCUUGUCCUCUGGGUUUGCUUUCAGCAAAAGCAGUGGCUUCCUGCAAGCGCUGCAGCAUCUGUGCUGGGUGCUUGGUGCUGAAUCCCCCCAUGCCUGGCUGUGCAUCGGUCCCCGGGCUGCGUUGCUGACAGGGGUUCCCUUUUGGCUCUGACUUCUCUGUCCCUGUUACCGGGACCUGCACACGAUGAGCUUUCUCCACUGAGCACGUUCAGGUGUUUUCCAGAGGGAAUAUUGCCUCUCCCUGCACAGGGUCUCAUCCUCCAGCAUCAGCAGGCAGGGCAGAGACCCAGGUGCUGUCUUUUUUGCUGUUCAGCCCUCUAAAAACAGCACACUGGUAAGCUGCAGACACCAAACCAAUUACUGUACGUUACAGCUGUCUUUGCACUUUCAUUAUCUGUAAAUUUUUGAGCUGCAGUCUCAAACAGGUGUUUCAUUUGCAAAGACACUUAGCAGAGGACACCAACACUGAAGCUCCUGAUCUCCCUGUAUAAUGCAGGAAGGGUCCAAGUUCAAAAUCCCCAGCUAAUGGGGAAGAGCUGUUGGGCUGUUUGACAUUUU
rnacentral:lncRNA from 1 species